AUGCUUACCUGGCAGAGAAGAUCCAUGAUCAAGAAGGUGGUUUUCCCAGGGCGUGGCUUAUCCAUUGCACUCUAGAUGUGCUGAUCUCUGGGAUUUCCCCAAAUGCGGGAAAUUUGACUGCAUAAUUUGUCAUAGUAGGGGACUACAUUGAGUUCUCCCCUG
rnacentral:snRNA from 1 species